rnacentral:tRNA from 1 species
GGGCCUGUGGCUUAGUCCGGUUAUAGCACUACUCUGAUAAGGUAGGGGUCGCUGAUUCAAAUUCAGCCAGGCCCA